GGGCGUUUAGCUCAGCUGGUUCAGAGCAUCUGCCUUACAAGCAGAGGGUCGGCGGUUCGAAUCCGUCAACGCCCACAA
rnacentral:tRNA from 117 species